CGUAUUUCACAACACAAACGUAAUUGAUUAGCACCAGAACAUUCUUUGCUAGUAUAAAAUGCCGCAUAGAAGCAAAUAACUUUUUCUGCUGACUUAUACCUACAACAACAGAACAGAAAGGAGUUUUAAAGGACUAUAAUGGAUAAUACCACUACAACCGAACUUUUGGGAGAUUUAAUAAAUUUGUCUGCCCAUCUUGGGGAGAACUACAAACAAGACGAAGCGUGUACAAAAUGGAUUGAACUAUUUCAUACAAAAUAUUAUCCCAAACUAACAGACGCAAUUAAACCCAAACAAAAGCGACAUACAAGAAGUGAUUUAGCGAAAAAAAUAAAAGAAGAAAUUACGAAAUCAUUUGGGACAGGGAGAAAUUCCAGAAAGUUUUAAUGUGGAUAUUUCAAGCGAUGGAUAAAUGUGUCGCAACUAUUCAAAAUUUACAACAACAAAUAUACAGAAACAAAAGGAAUAUUGUUUAUUGUACGCAUCAGAUUGGAUUUAUUAUUAAAAAUUUAAAAUCAAGUUGGCCAAAGGAUUGUGCCAUAGGACUUUAUCUUCAUAGCAAAGGCAUACCUUACACAGAUUCCUACUGUCGAAACCUAGUUUUAGUUUAUGAAUUAAUUGAGAAACAUAAGAAUUUAUUGAAGUGUACUUUAAACAUUGGAACUUUAAUCAAAAACAGGAAACUAAUCGAAGAAAUAUGUACAGAGUUGGAUUGGUAACAAAAUCAACUUUUAACAGCAGGAAUCUAUGUUAGGAUUUCAUAUACAAUGU
rnacentral:lncRNA from 1 species